GCCCCUCUGCUGUCAGCUGCUGUGCCACAGCUCGGCCGGUACAAUCUCCUCCCUGGUCUGGGGAGUAGAGAACUUAGCAGCGCAGCAGUGGACUUGACAGUGCUAGGUUAACAACUGAACUUGAUGACCUUGGAGGUAUUUUCCAACCAAAAUGAUUCAAUGAUGUUAUCAAUUCUGUGUUAGCUGUAGGACUUGUCUGGUAACUCUUCUCUUGCCUUUUUGUACUCUGGGCAUGGGAGUACAGCUCAUGUAUUAGGAAAACCAUUAUUGUGUCCAUGCAAUUUUGGUGCCGUAUAUGUGAGAUUUUGCCAAGUGGCUGAAGCACAGCCAAGCAGCUGCAGAUUAUAGUGUCUGAGGUUUGAGAAAUUUUCCACCUAAAUUUAUAGCAAGGAAGUGAUUAUACCUGCUAUUCUUCAAGAAGGAGGGCUUUUCAGUCUGUGUGCAUGGGUAACCUUUGUCACCCUUCUACCUUGAGUUUACUGAGAAGUAGUGAUGUAGCACAGUGGAAAAGAUCAGCAUCUGAGGGGCUGGCUUUAGAUCUCAUGGAAGUCCACCUGCUGGGAAUAUAAAUAUCUUCUCUGCUUUCUGUCAAGACUAUUGAAAUUCAGGUCUGCUUUCUGCUUGGUUCCCCUUUGCCUUCACCAUCCAGGAAGAUGGGGCAACAGAGAUCUAUCUGAAGCCAUCAUGAAGGAUGUCUCACAUCUUACUAAAAAAAUGGUGCCAUGAUUGUCAGUAGAGUAAAUGACAGAGCCCUGUUUACACAAGAACCUAUGUCUUGCACAGAAUUUCAGAUUUUAUUUCUUUUUUUAAACAUAGAUGAAUGAGGAAAUUAUUAAGAACUAUUAUGUACAACACGAAAAGAUUCAGGCUUCUGUGAAAAUAAAUUACUCUAACCUUAGCUUUAGAAGAUCAUAAACAUUUGAAGCUCUAGGAGCUGAACCCACAUAACCGUAUCUAAUAUGUCAAAGCAUUCAAACAUGGCAUAGCCUUCUGGAAAGUUUAUGAUCUUGAGAGAUUACAGGAGGGGAAGCAAUAUGAACUAAAAGAAGAUAUGCAAUUUUUUCUUGCAGACUUACAUUAUGUUCUCUGCCUUCCCCUCAUCACUACACAUUUUGGAACUUGUUAAACUGUCCUUGCUCCACAAUAUGCCCCUGGGAGAGGCACUGGAGGCAGUAGACAGGCAUCUUUGCCUUGGGGUGGCACCUGAGCCUGCUAGUUCCUCCAGAAUAUAGCCUCAGGCUGUGUCCCAGCUUUCCAGACCUCCACCAGUACUUCCAUCUUUCCACAGAUCUGGCACUGUGCAGCCGGUACACACACACACAACUGGGAUGAGCUAAACCUGAGGUAGACCACAUAACCAUGAAGGGAGCUGGCUUCAGGCAGCAGGGUAGGAGAGCUGGAGGGAAUGUGACCUGAAUGGCUGGCUAUGCCUAGACUAAUUUAGAGCUGUCUGAUGUGGAUAUGUUUGUAGAAUUAUAGAAUGGUUUGGGUUGGAAGGGACCUUUAAAGAUCACCUACUUCCAACCCCCCAGCCAUGGGCAGGGACACCUUCCUAAACUAGGUUGCUCAGGACCCCGUCCAACCUGGCCUUGAACACUUCCAAGAACAGGGUGUUAACAUCCUUUCUGGGCAACUUGUUCCAAUGACUCACCGCCCUCAAAGUGAAAAGUUUCAUCCUUAUAACUAAUCUAAAUUUCCUCUCCUUCUGUUUAAAGCUAUUCCUGCCUGUCCUAUGACUACAUGCCCUCAUAAAAAGUUCCUUUUUAACUCUGUAAGCACCCCUUUAGGUACUGGAAGACUGCUUUAAGAUCUCUCUCUGGAGCCUUCUCUUCUAUGGACUGAACAGCCCCAACACUCUCAGCCUUUUGCCAUGGAAGAAGUGCUGCAGGCCUCUCCUCAUCUGUGUGAUCCUACUCUGGAUCUGGUACAACAGGCCCAUGGCUUUCCUGUACUGUGGACCUCAGAGCUGGACUCAGUACUUAAAGAAGGCUCUAACAAGAGCAAGGAAGAGGAGGAAAAUCAUCUGUCUGCACCUGCUGGCCACACUUCUUUUGGUGUAGCCCAGGAUCCUGUUGUCUUUCUGGAUUGAUAGUGUGUGUUGAGGGUCAUGCUGAGUUUCUCUUCCACUGCCACUCCCAAGAAUUUCUCCUAAGGGCUGCCCUCAGGCUGUUCCCAGGAAAUAGCUGUGUAAGAGCAGAUAGGGUUGAGUUUUCCCAUUGCUUCUGCACCAUCCUUUCUGCCCCUCCCUGCACUCAUAAAAUUAAACUGUGUUAGGCGACAGACAGAAGUGUGUCAGCCAGGAAAAAGUUGUAUUCCUUCUGGGUGGGUGCCACAGUUCAAUGUAGCUAUGGGGGGAGCUCUUUACACGGUUAGGGAAGGCUCUUACUCUCUCCUCCCUCUUGGAGAGCCUCCAUCACCCACCUCUGUAAUGAAAACUCAAGGGUCAGGACCGUGUUGUUGGCUCUACCACGUUCUGUAAGCCACUUGGCACCCCAUGACAUGGAUGCUGACUAGUGAGCUGACAGCAACUUCUAGGCUGACAUACUGAAUACUAUUUUGGCACAAGACAAGAAAAUUUGAAUGUGUCCUCUCUGGUGUAGAAUCAAUGCCCCCCUUAUGAGUUUUAAUACAUAACAGGAAACAAGGUUUUGGGAAUUUUUGAAAUUUUUCACUUUGGUGCUUAGGAAGAGUAUUUGUGCACUUCAGCUGGCACUUCCCAGAACUAUUAUAGCUUGAACCAAAUUCAUUCUGGAUCGUUCAAUUAAAAAAAAAAAAAAAAAAGGCUUUAUUUUGCAAAAUUAAGUAAUGCUUCAGAUUAAUACAUUAUUUAUGUUGCCAAUGAUGGAACUUCUAGAAGGUCUUCAUGCUAAACUUCUAUAAAUUUUUGAGUAUUUUCUGAGAUUCCUUGGUCACUUUUGCUUUUUCAUUAAUCUUGCUUUGUUUAUCAAUUCCCCUGAAGAGCACAACUCUCUUCCUGGAGGCAAAAUUAUCAAAGACUUGUAUGGUAUACAGAUAAGACAAAUCUAAUGACCAGUAUUUUUUAUAUUUAAAAAUUUUUUCUUCUAGAAAUUUUUAAGCUAUAGAUAAACUCAAAUGGGAAAGUCCAAAGUAAAACUUUGUUUGAAAAAAAAUCCCAGUGAUAAUUGGAAAGAAAUUAAAAAUAAUUUUCAACCCUCAAAUUUGCUUAAGCAGCCCAGAAACUAAAAGAAUGCCAAGCAUGAAAAUGCAAUUAAAUGAAACCUUUUACUCCUUCAGCAUUAGUUCUGUGUGUGAUUGUUCUAUGCACAGUGCUAUUAAAACAUCUUAGCACCACUCAUAAACUAACAUAAGUUUUAAGACAGAUAAGUAUUACUCACUUGAAAUUUCUUUCCAUUUAAGAAUGAAAUAAAACAAUCAUAUGAAAUAGACAUUGUAAGGGUGUCACAGUGAGCUCUCAUGCAUCAACAAUUUUUACAUAACUAUAUACUCAAGUACGUACUGAAACUGAGUAUUUGUUGCCACAACGGCUGUCACACCAAAUGUGUCUUCUCAGUGAAAACAAUCAAAAAUCAAGCAUUUGUGCUAUUCUUGUACUACUUAUACUGAGCCUGAAGCAAUAGGUUUAUCUUAUGUUCUGUUUAAUCAAAAUUACCUAUUGUGGAGAUGAGCAUUUUCUUUGGUGCAUCAUUUUUAUUUUAAUUUUAUUUCCUUCAGCAUAUUACAGCAACAAAAAUGAGUUUUCGGAGUGCCAAGUUGUAUCAAGAGUUCACUCACAUUGAACUGUGGCUGUUUAGGUUUAUGUGCUGGAUCUACAGAUACCAUGAACAUGAGAUAACACCUUGAUUUGGAAAUCCUACAACAAAAAUCUAUAUUAUUGAUGUGAUAUUUUGGAAAGAAAAUUAUAUUUCCAGUUGCAUAGUAAAAUAACAUUGUCAUCUAGUUCAUUCUGAGGAAUAAAUGAAAAUAAAGAAAAUAUGAGACGUAUAAUAACCAGUUAUUCACACUCCAGCUCAGAUUUUUUUUCUUAUGACCCAUGGGGAAAAGGAAGAAAUAGAAGUAUGAGAAGAGGAGAGAAAGAAGGCAGCUACAAAACAUGGAGGAGCUGAUCCCAAAUCCAAAGUGGUCAAUAUGCAUUUGCAAUAAGGUGUUUUGAAAGCAAAGAGAGAGACCAGUAUCAUGUACCAGCUGCUGCUGUUCUGUGAGCCUCUGGAACAGUGGCAAGCUGAUACUGGAAGAAGUGACAGUGAAGAAAGGGUAGAAAAGACACAGCUCAGUCUGACUUGGGAAGAACUUCAAUUAAAUCCACAAGGACAGAUCACACAUUCUGUUGGGAAGGAAUGAGUAGGAUGAGCAAAAUGUGAAAAAUAUUAUUACUAUUAUAAAGGACUAUUCUUAUGCUGUUCUGAAAAAAAAAACAACAACCAAAAAAAUGUUUGGUA